UCUCCAAGUUCCCAAAAUUGAGAACCUCUAAGUCUCUUCACCAAGGAGAGAUUGGAGAAGAAAUGAGUGACCUUAGAGUAGUGGGAUUGCAAGAUGCACCCCCCAAGGUGGCCGGCCUUUUUAGAGAGAAAUGGAGAGACAAGUUCUCACCAAUUUUCUCCAAAACAAACCCUUAAUGAAUUUUAGCUAUAAAGUCAUAUUUAUACCUUUAUUCAUUUGAGUGGCAAACUUGUAAAUAAGUCCAAGUUCACUACCCUAAACAAUAUGGCUGGCCAUUAGGAUAUUUUGGACUAAUUGGGCCUUUGUGAAUCAUUAUUCAUUACGUUGUCAUACAACUUAAGUUAAUGGGCUUGACGUUCGAAGCCCAUUGGGCCUUAAGGUCCAAAACUAUCCUGAGGUCUUUAACGAACUUAUUCGUUUGAUUAAUUAACAUAUUAAUUAAUCCUUACCAUAAAUAAAUGAUUAAACCAUUUAAUCAUUCUUACUCAUCUCCAUUGUUUCUUCAAUCUCCACCUUACACGGU
rnacentral:lncRNA from 1 species